rnacentral:rRNA from 1 species
GUUUGAUGGCGACCGGCGCACGGGUGAGUAACACGUAUCCAACCUGCCGAUGACUCGGGGAUAGCCUUUCGAAAGAAAGAUUAAUACCCGAUGGCAUAGUUCUUCCGCAUGGUGGAACUAUUAAAGAAUUUCGGUUAUCGAUGGGGAUGCGUUCCAUUAGUUUGUUGGCGGGGUAACGGCCCACCAAGACUACGAUGGAUAGGGGUUCUGAGAGGAAGGUCCCCCACAUUGGAACUGAGACACGGUCCAAACUCCUACGGGAGGCAGCAUG